CGUCGGGUCCUUGGGACCGAGAAUCCGUGAACCCCGCCAGGUCCGAAAGGAAGCAACGGUAGCGGUCCUCUCGGGGCUCGAGGGUGCCCGGCGCUC
rnacentral:SRP_RNA from 1 species